rnacentral:sRNA from 1 species
GGGACUGUGAGGGGCGCUUCUGACUUUGGACUUGAGCACUGCCUGGGACCUGUGCUGAGAGAGCGCUAGCAUGUCUCAGUGGAAUCAAGUCCAACAGUUAGAAAUCAAGUUUUUGGAGCAGGUGGAUCAAUUCUAUGAUGACAACUUUCCCAUGGAAAUUCGGCAUCUGUUGGCCCAGUGGAUUGAAAAUCAAGACUGGGAGGCAGCUUCUAACAAUGAAACCAUGGCAACGAUUCUUCUUCAAAACUUGUUAAUACAACUGGAUGAACAGUUAGGUCGUGUUUCCAAAGAGAAAAACCUACUCUUGAUACACAAUCUAAAAAGAAUUAGGAAGGUCCUUCAGGGAAAAUUUCAUGGAAAUCCAAUGCAUGUAGCUGUGGUUAUUUCAAACUGUUUAAGGGAAGAGAGGAGAAUAUUGGCUGCAGCCAACAUGCCUGUCCAGGUAAUAUUUUCUGACCUUGUGAUCUUGUUAUCACCUUGAACUCAACUUUUCUGAAACAGAAAUUAUUAUCUUUGGUAGGGUACAGUGGCUCACACCUGUAAUCCUAACACUUUGGGAGGCAAAGGUGGGAGGAUCAUUUGAAGCCAAGAGUUUGAGACCAGUCUGGCCAAUGAAGCAAGACCCUGUCUCCAAAAAAAAAAAA